AGUGAACGCUGGCGGUAGACCUAACACAUGCAAGUCGAACGGCAGCACAGUAAGAGCUUGCUCUUACGGGUGGCGAGUGGCGGACGGGUGAGGAAUACAUCGGAAUCUACUUUUUCGUGGGGGAUAACGUAGGGAAACUUACGCUAAUACCGCAUACGACCUACGGGUGAAAGCAGGGGAUCUUCGGACCUUGCGCGAUUGAAUGAGCCGAUGUCGGAUUAGCUAGUUGGCGGGGUAAAGGCCCACCAAGGCGACGAUCCGUAGCUGGUCUGAGAGGAUGAUCAGCCACACUGGAACUGAGACACGGACCAGACUACUACGGGAGGCAGCAGUGGGGAAUAUUGGACAAUGGGCGCAAGCCUGAUCCAGCCAUACCGCGUGGGUGAAGAAGGACUUCGGGUUGUAAAGCCCUUUUGUUGGGAAAGAAAAGCAGCAGGUUAAUACCCCGCUGUUCUGACGGUACCCAAAGAAUAAGCACCGGCUAACUUCGUG
rnacentral:rRNA from 1 species